ensembl:lncRNA
CGGGGAGGGGUAGCUACCGCGGGCCGAGCGCUCUCGCCUUGUGCCCCCGGCCCCCAGCGCAUCCCUUGUUACCUGAGCAACUGCACCCGGCUGCCGGCGGGAUUUGCCCGCGCCGCGUGGAGUAGGAGUAGAGGCGGGGCGGCGGUGAGGCCAAGUGAACGCAGAAUCCAGCUGAGGGGCUCUACUGUGCGCCCCGGAAAAAGAUUUCCCCGAGGGCAUCUCAACUUGACCAGAUGGUCUCGACACGUGCGAGCACCUUCUAUGCUGUCUCUAAUCCAGGCAGGCCCGAGUAGUCAGUAUCUCUCCUUUCGCCGGGCCGGGAAGCAGAGCCUCCGAAGGUUCCUGGGCGCUGCUGCUGUAUCUCCAGGGGCCAGUUCAGCCAGUCAGCCAGCAGGUAUUCGCGCUCCUAACAGAAGACUGCCCGAGGAACCUCCAGCAGCGCGUCCACCGGCCCUGGAAUACUUUCUGCGUAUUUUCUCCCCAAACCAACUUCCAUCAAAGCCCCUAACCUCACACUGCCCCAGGUCUAGGAUGGGAGACUGA